AGGAUUAACGCUGGCGGCGUGCCUAACACAUGCAAGUCGAACGAGGGGGGGCAACCCCCGAGUGGCAGACGGGUGAGUAACGCGUGGUCAACCUACCCUAGAGUGGGGAAUAACUAGCCGAAAGGUUAGCUAAUACCGCAUGAUACGUUUUGGGACAUCCCAGGACGUUGAAAGGAGCAAUCCGCUCGAGGACGGGACCGCGUCCGAUUAGCUAGUUGGUGAGGUAACGGCCCACCAAGGCUCCGAUCGGUAGCUGGUUUGAGAGAGCGACCAGCCACACUGGGACUGAGAAACGGCCCAGACUCCUACGGGAGGCAGCAGUGAGGAAUUUUCCGCAAUGGGCGAAAGCCUGACGGAGCGACGCCGCGUGUGGGAAGAAGGCCUUCGGGUCGUAAACCACUGUCGAAGGGGACUAUACUGAAGGUACCCUUGGAGGAAGCCCGGCUAACUACGUGCCAGCAGCCGC
rnacentral:rRNA from 1 species